GGAAAGGUGCUCGAGUGGUUGAAGAGGCACGCCUGGAAAGCGUGUAAACCUCUAAAGGGUUUCGCAGGUUCGAAUCCUGUUCUUUCCG
rnacentral:tRNA from 1 species